AUCAUUAAUGAAUAUAAAAGCUUUUGAAGUUGUUUGCUGGUCUCUAGGGAUAUUGUGCACGCUUCAUUAGUUCCCCUUUAUACCCCUGUGCACCUUUGAUAGAUUUCGGUUGGGUCAUGGUUUUUCGGAACCUUGUCCUAAACGGACUUCUAUACUAUACACACCCCAAAAUGUAUGUUAUAAUGAAUGUUUAUAUUACAAGGCCUAUGUGCCUUAUAAACUUUAAUACAACUUUCAACAACGGAUCUCUUGGCUCUCGCAUCGAUGAAGAACGCAGCGAAAUGCGAUAAGUAAUGUGAAUUGCAGAAUUCAGUGAAUCAUCGAAUCUUUGAACGCACCUUGCGCCCUUUGGUAUUCCGAAGGGCAUGCCUGUUUGAGUGUCAUUAAAUUCUCAAACUCUACACUUUGUUCUUUGAACGAGGUUUUGUAGCUGUUUGGAUUGUUGGGGGUUGCUGGCGUCUUUUUAUUGAAGUCGGCUCCUCUUAAAUGCAUUAGCGGGACUUUGUUGCCUCUGCGCAUAGUGUGAUAAUUAUCUACGCUAGACGCAUGCAAUCAUUAUUAACGGUCCAGCUUCCUAAUCGUCCAAUAGAAUGGACAACUCUUUGACAAUUUGACCUCAAAUCAGGUAGGACUACCCGCUGAACUUAAGCAUAUCAUA
rnacentral:rRNA from 1 species